GGGAAAUGAUGCACUGCUCUCCUACAGGAACUUUUGAAUGAUCUGAGGACACCUCGUGAAGGCAAGGGGUGAGUGCCUCAAGCACAGAGCAGAGAAUUGCCCAGACAAAUUACAGAGUCAGCUGGUCCUGUGAUGGCCUGAGCAAUAAUGAGAUGAACUCUUGCUCAGCCUCUGUCUUCAGUGGGAUCCAGGACCCAGCCUACUCAGUGGUGGAUCCCCCACUCCUUGUCUCCUUCUGUGAUACCAGCUCAUCCCUUGACUCACAAUAGACAAUCUUCAACCAGAGGUCUGUGAAUGAUGCUCUGCUCGAUUCAGUCUGGAGAGCUCAAGAGAAGCUUUGUUGUGGAUGGAGGCAGAAGAAUGGGGAGACCUGCCCACCUCCACCCAUGCUCUCCUUAUUUGAUGGCACUGCAACUGUUAUGGUGUAAUGUAAAUGUGUGUCUUGGCGAGCACAUGGAAGGAAUUAAUGACGACAUCCCAAAUAUCAUGCUAUGGAAAACAAGUUAUCCGUACACAAUAACUCUGUUAGCUGGCUUCUAUGAAGAAUACUUCUGAGAAGCUUGAUGACAGUAAGUUGAUUGACAUCUCAGGAA
rnacentral:lncRNA from 12 species